rnacentral:sRNA from 1 species
UGUUAUUUUUUCGUAUGGUUUCAACCACAAAGGUCAAUAUAAUCAAGGGUAAAUUGCAGGCCACACCCGUUGACCAUGUUUUAUUUCCAUAGAUUGUCAAAGUCAAAUGUGGUUUUUACCAUUUGUCUUUUCGCCUGCAAAAUGACGCUUCUGCCCUUGCGCUUCUCUCUUAGCAACUGUUGAAAUGUACGGUUUAGUUUAGCAGGUUUAGUUACGUACACUGUUCCGGUUCAGUUGAAGAUUUUUUGUUCACGUUGACGCGAUUCGGUUCCGUUACAAGUGAGAUUAUUACGAAGUGAUAUCAACAUUUAAUGCCCCCAAAAAGUUUAGAUGUGACUAUUGUCACAAUUAAUGCAAAAUCAUCAUUACAUCAAAUAAUAUUAAAAAA